rnacentral:lncRNA from 1 species
UUUCAAAAAGGUUCAACCCUUUAGGGAUCCUUCCUUUUAUCCACCUCUGAUUCAUUUUCCUCUCAAAUAUUCAAAUGCCUUCUCAGAAGGAAAUGUCAUGAAGGCAUGUCAUGUAUCUGAAAAAUAAUUAAUAUAAUUGACAGGAAUGUCGGUUUUCUGCUGAGGUGUGUUUCUCCUAAUCCCUCUGUGCAAUCUUUAAUAUUGAUCUAAUUGUUAGGAAAUCUUGUCACUCUCCGCUUACCCUACCUGGGCGAAAAAUCUUCAGGACUGAAGAUCCUUGCACUUCAUAACGUGUACAUCUGUACUAGAAGAAUCAUUUGACAAUAACAACAGAAAAAAAAAAAAAAUGGGUUUCCGUUCUUUUAUGUGCUGGGGCACGUGUCCAUAACAUCUAUGCUCGGAAGGGGUACGUGCGUGUAUACAGUGCUUGCCUGCAGUUGACAGUUUAUUCACAGUGUACAUUGCGUAUCAUAUUGCAAAUGGCACAUCAGAGUGUUGGAAUCUAGGCAAUAGGAGUUCAGCACUUAAAGUGUCCAGGUUGCACCUGAACUAGCUGGAGCCUGCCAGCCCCCGCAAGCCCACUGAGAGCAUCUGUCUCGCCACCGCCUAGCUCAUGCUGUCUCCUCCGCAGGCCCUCCGAUUCUUCUGACUAUGAGCAUAAAUCAUCCACCUGUCAGGAGCUCUUGCUGCCUGGAUUAUGCAAUGUGCCUGCCUUCAUUUGGAGGUGGUGUGAGCAGGAGAUUGCUGCAAAUGGUCUGCAUUCAUUUUAAUGCCAUCUCGGCCUUUCUUUAGCUUUAAUGAGGGGAUUAGGGUGGUGACAAUGACUUUC